rnacentral:rRNA from 1 species
CGGUGAAUCGUGUGCCAGCAGCUGGGUUGAUACGAGGGUGGCAAGCUUGAAUCGGUAUUAAUGGGCGUGAAGCGUGCGUAGUCGUGGCUUGAAGUCGGCGGUGAAAUCCCCGGGCUCAACCUGGGAAUGGCAGUGGAUACUGGGGAGCUAGAGUGUGAUAGAGGAUGGUGGAAUUCCCGGUGUAGCGGUGAAAUGCGUAGAGAUCGGGAGGAACAUCAGUGGCGAAGGCGGCCAUCUGGAUCAACACUGACGCUGAGGCACGAAAGCGUGGGGAGCAAACAGGAUUAGAUACCCUAGUAGU